UCUAAAACUCACGAUUAAUAUUCGCUUGAAACUUGAAAAAACUCAAAUAAAUCGGGGAAUCCCACUCGAAAACCUUUAAGUAUCUGGAUUUUCGGUUUCUGAAAAAUAUGGAUCUAGUGAAGGGACAGAUUACCUUUACUUGGCCACCCGAAAAAAUUAAAAGGGUUGAAACUGUCUGAAAAGACCUCUUUCGAUUUUAACUGUCCUCUGAGUUUUUGUGUUUCUCAAAUCAUUGUUGUCCCCAUCAACAUCAGUACUGUUUACAGUUACGCAAAAUUGGUAAAUUUCAGAAUCUUGUUACAACGAUGGUUGUAACAAGUUGCUAAAGGAUGCCCCAAUGAGCAGAACAAAAAUGAGACAAAGAGUUUCCACAGGUUUCCUUUUAAACGCCCAGAUAUUUUGGAACUUUGGAUUACUGCUGUAGGAAGGGAAAAUUGGUAUUCCUCAAAGUAUAGUAGAAUAUGUGAAGAUUACCUUCCUAAUCCAAGUUAUACAAGAAAAAUAUUGAAACUUGAUGCUGUACCAAGUGUAUUCAAUAAUAUCCCA